GAUGAACGCUGGCGGCGUGCCUAAUACAUGCAAGUCGAGCGAACAGACGAGAGUGCUUGCACUCUCUGACGUUAGCGGCGGACGGGUGUGUAACACGUGGGUAACCUACCUAUAAGACUGGGAUAACUUCGGGAAACCGGAGCUAAUACCGGAUAAUAUUUAGCUUCGCAUGAAGCAAUAGUGAAAGACGGUUCUGCUGUCACUUAUAGAUGGACCCGCGGUGUAUUAGCUAGUUGGUGAGGUAACGGCUCACCAAGGCAACGAUACAUAGCCGACCUGAGAGGGUGAUCGGCCACACUGGGACUGAGACACGGCCCAGACUCCUACGGGAGGCAGCAGUAGGGAAUCUUCCGCAAUGGACGAAAGUCUGACGGAGCAAUGCCGCGUGAGUGAAGAAGGUUUUCGGAUCGUAAAACUCUGUUGUAAGGGAAGAACAAGUACGUUAGUAACUGAACGUACCUUGACGGUACCUUACCAGAAAGCCACGGCUAACUACGUG
rnacentral:rRNA from 1 species